GAUGAAGAACGCAGCGAAAUGCGAUAAGUAAUGUGAAUUGCAGAAUUCAGUGAAUCAUCGAAUCUUUGAACGCACAUUGCGCCCCUUGGUAUUCCGAGGGGCAUGCCUGUUCGAGCGUCAUUAUAACCCCUCAAGCUCAGCUUGGUGUUGGGGCCUGCUGCACUGGCAGCCCUUAAAAUCAGUGGCGGCGCCAUCUGGCUCUAAGCGUAGUAAUUCUUCUCGCUAUGGAGUCCUGGUGGAUGCUUGCCAUCAACCCCCAAUUUUUCUAUGGUUGACCUCGGAUCAGGUAGGGAUAACCGCUGAACUUAAGCAUAUCAAUAAGCGGAGGA
rnacentral:misc_RNA from 1 species